rnacentral:rRNA from 1 species
AUGCAAGUCGAGCGGUUAGGCCUUUCGGGGUACACGAGCGGCGAACGGGUGAGUAACACGUGGGUGAUCUGCCCUGCACUUCGGGAUAAGCCUGGGAAACUGGGUCUAAUACCGCCAUAUGACCUCCUAUCGCAUGGAGGGUGGUGGAAAGAUUUAUCGGUGCAUGAUGGGCCCGCGGCCUAUCAGCUUGUUGGUGGGGUAAUGGCCUACCAAGGCGACAGACGGGUAGCCGACCUGAGAGGGUGACCGGCCACACUGGGACUGAAACACGGCCCAAACUCCUACCGGAGGCAGCAGUGGGGAAUAUUGCACAAUGGGCGAAAGCCUGAUGCACCGACGCCGCGUGAGGGAUGACGGCCUUCGGGUUGUAAACCUCUUUCAGCAGGGACGAAGCGCAAGUGACGGUACCUGCAGAAGAAGCACCGGCUAACUACGUGCCAGCAGCCGCGGUAAUACGUACGGUGCAAGCGUUGUCCGGAAUUACUGGGCGUAAAGAGUUCGUAGGCGGUUUGUCGCGUCCUUUGUGAAAACCAGCAGCUCAACUGCUGGCUUGCAGGCGAUACGGGCAGACUUGAGUACUGCAAGUGAGACUGGAAUUCCUGGUGUAGCGGUGAAAUGCGCACAUAUCAGGAGGAACACCGGUGGCUAAGCAGGUCUCUGGGCAGUAACUGACGCUGAGGUACGAAAGCGUGGUAGCGAACAGGAUUAGAUACCCUGGUAUCCACGCCGUAAACCGUGGGCGCUAGGUGUGGGUUCCUUCCACGGAAUCCGUGCCGUACUAACGCAUUAGCGCCCGCUUGGGAUUCGGCCGCAGCUUAAAUCAAGGAAUUGC